rnacentral:rRNA from 1 species
GACGAACGCUGGCGGCGUGCUUAACACAUGCAAGUCGAACGGAAAGGCCCUGCUUUUGUGGGGUGCUCGAGUGGCGAACGGGUGAGUAACACGUGAGUAACCUGCCCUUGACUUUGGGAUAACUUCAGGAAACUGGGGCUAAUACCGGAUAGGAGCUCCUGCUGCAUGGUGGGGGUUGGAAAGUUUCGGCGGUUGGGGAUGGACUCGCGGCUUAUCAGCUUGUUGGUGGGGUAGUGGCUUACCAAGGCUUUGACGGGUAGCCGGCCUGAGAGGGUGACCGGCGACAUUGGGACUGAGAUACGGCGCAGACUCCUACGGGAGGCAGCAGUGGGGAAUAUUGCACAAUGGGCGGUAGCCUGAUGCAGCAACGCCGCGUGCGGGAUGACGGCCUUCGGGUUGUAAACCGCUUUCGCCUGUGACGAAGCGUGAGUGACGGUAAUGGGUAAAGAAGCACCGGCUAACUACGUG